rnacentral:rRNA from 1 species
GACGAACGCUGGCGGCGUGCUUAACACAUGCAAGUCGAACGGAAAGGCCCUGCUUUUGUGGGGUGCUCGAGUGGCGAACGGGUGAGUAACACGUGAGUAACCUGCCCUUGACUUUGGGAUAACUUCAGGAAACUGGGGCUAAUACCGGAUAGGAGCUCCUGCUGCAUGGUGGGGGUUGGAAAGUUUCGGCGGUUGGGGAUGGACUCGCGGCUUAUCAGCUUGUUGGUGGGGUAGUGGCUUACCAAGGCUUUGACGGGUAGCCGGCCUGAGAGGGUGACCGGCCACAUUGGGACUGCGAUACGGCCCAGACUCCUACGGGAGGCAGCAGUGGGGAAUAUUGCACAAUGGGCGGAAGCCUGAUGCAGCAACGCCGCGUGCGGGAUGACGGCCUUCGGGUUGUAAACCGCUUUCGCCUGUGACGAAGCGUGAGUGACGGUAAUGGGUAAAGAAGCAACGGCUAACUACGUG